GAUGAACGCUGGCGGCGUGCCUAAUACAUGCAAGUCGAGCGGCAGCGCGGUCUUCGGACUGGCGGCGAGCGGCGGACGGCUGAGUAACGCGUGGGAACAUACCCCAAAGUGAGGGAUAACCGCCCGAAAGGGUGGCUAAUACCGCAUAUAGUCUUCGGAUUAAAGGAUUUAUCCGCUUUGGGAAUGGCCUGCGUAAGAUUAGAUAGUUGGUGAGGUAAUGGCUCACCAAGUCGACGACCUUUAACUGGUCUGAGAGGAUGAUCAGUCAGACUGGAACUGAGACACGGUCCAGACUCCUACGGGAGGCAGCAGUGAGGAAUCUUCCACAAUGGGCGAAAGCCUGAUGGAGCAACGCCGCGUGCAGGAUGAAGGCCUUCGGGUCGUAAACUGCUUUUAUAAGUGAAGAAUAUGACGGUAACUUAUGAAUAAGCACCGGCUAACUACGUGCCAGCAGCCGCUGUAA
rnacentral:rRNA from 1 species